CUCUCCUCCCUCUGCAGGCUCCGGAUCAGGCUGCCAAUCUGUAAAUGAUGUUUUAGGUUUUUCUUUGUUGUUGUUUUGGUGCUGUGAAGCCUGCCUUGUUAACACCAGGUGCUGAAAGAUUAAAACUUAUCAAUCACCAUCAUCAAGGGGGAGUUGCCGGGCACAAGUUCUCUUCUCUUGUCUGCUGCCAUGUGAGACAUACCUUUCACCUUCCGCCAUGAUUGUGAGGCCUCUCCAGCCACGUGGAACUCAGGUUUCAGUCCUUGAGGAGCGCUCACUAGGAUGGUAAUUGUUUGAUCGAUAGAUUAAGUGAGUUGGAAGACUCUCCAAGUGAAAAUUUAAAAUUACUGCAGUUUUGGCCUGAUGAUGUUAACCAGCAAGAACAGAAUCUGAAACCAGAUGAGCUGUUAGUACUGCUUUCAUCUGUUUUACAGCCACAGCGACAGCAGUUCCCUGGCUUCUGGAAGGAGUGUCGGUCUAUCCAAAAAAUGUACUAACAGAUAUGUAAAGUCUGUCAUCCAUUUGCAGCAAAUUUUGCCUACGGUAUGAAAUAGGAGUUCAAUUUGACAUUGAAUAUUGAUAUCUUAGCAAUAUUAUCUCCCAAUCUGUGAACACGAAAUUUCUUUAUAUUUAUUCAAAUUAUCUUUGGUUUUUAAUGAUGUUAAAUCCAAGUAUUCUUUGUGAUGCUGUUGUAAAUGGAAUUUUUUGUGUUGUUCAUUGCUAAUGUAUAAAAACCAAUGAUGUUUGUAUAUUAAUCUUGUAUCCUGCAACCUCAUUGAACUAGUUUAUUAGCUCUAGUAAUAUGUUGGUGUGAAUCCCUUAAUAUUUUCUACAUACAAGAUCAUGUCAUCUGCAAAUUGUUUUACUUCUUCCUUUCCAAUUUGGAUGCUUUUUAUUUCAUCUUGCCUACUGCUUUGGCUACAACCUCCAGUACAAGAUUGAAUAGAAGUGAUGAGACAGAACAUCCUUGUCUUAUUUGUGAUCUCUGGGGGGGAAGGCUUACAGUAUUUUGCAUCAACAUAUCAGCUACGGGUUUUUCAUAGAUGUCCUUUCUCAGGAUGAAAAAGUCCAUGUUUGGCUUUUUGAAUGUUUUCAUCUAAGAGUUUUGGAUUUUGCCAAAUGUUAAAUGCUUCUUCUGUAUGCAUUGAGAUGAUCUUGUUGUUUUUGUCCUUUAUUCUAAUAAUAUGGUGUACUACAUUGAUUUCUGUAUGUUGAAGUUUGUAUUCCUAAGAUAAAUCUCACUUGCUUAUGGU